rnacentral:lncRNA from 1 species
GCUGUUUAUAGGUAAUUGCUCAUGUGAGGUGAACUGUAAUGAGAACAACAUCCCCACUCUAGCAGAGGAAGAAGACCAAAGUGAAACUCCACCUCCCACUGGAAAUCAUUGACUCACCCUCUACCAAAUUCUACUAUUAAAUCUAGGGGAAUAGAAUUGAAAGAUAAUCAUUUUGACCCAUCUAUCUGAAAAGCAUGAAAAAUUUCUCAGGUGUUAACUCAGCUUAUGUGACUACAUUCAAGCUCUGCCUGCCUGCAAGCAUUAGGGCUCUUUCCACUCCCCAUUGAGAGAAUCGCCACUAUCCCACUAUCUUAAGACAAGCCUGAAGAAGUAGGAUCAUGGAGCUCCAAGGAAGACUUCCUCAAGAGUGAGUGUUUGGCAUUAUCAACGUUCAUUGCUAUAGGGCUUAGGAAUUAAUGAGAGGGCUGUAAAGAAUGGGAGGGAGGUAAAACUGAGGAGAUAUUUUGGGGAUAGGGAAUAUUUAUCAUCUGUUGUAGGAGAAAAAAAGAACCCACAAGAGAAAUAUUGCAGAUACAAAAGAGGGGAAAAGUUGGGGAAUGGGAUAGUACACUUAUGCUGAAGCAGGAUUGGAAAAGCAGAGUCUGAAUGAAUUUACUAAAACAUUAGUGGAGCAUUGGAGUUAAGACAGAUGGCUCUCAUUUUAGUAAACUAGGAAGCGUUAUCAGAUUACAUUUGUUUAAUUGCUCAUAUAAUUCAACUGAGUUGACAUAGAAAUUUAUAUACUGGUUCAAGAGAGCUGACUGAACAUUUUGACAGCUUUGUCUUUCCUCCCUACAAGAAUUCUACUGAACUGACAGAAGAAAUGUAAAAAAAUAAUAAAUCCAUAGCAACUACAAAAAGCAGGGAAGGGUGCUAUCAGAAGUGCAGAUUUCUGGGAAAUAUUAAAUAAGUAGGAUAAGACUGAUGGCAUAUCCCAACAAAGUUGAACCUACAUCUCCAUAGAAAUGGAAAAGAUCUUCCAAAACAAAAGGAGCCAAUAAAUAAACCCAAGAGUAAAGGCUAUAA